rnacentral:tRNA from 1 species
GCCUUCUUAGCGCAGUGGGCAGCGCGUCAGUCUCAUAAUCUGAAGGUCCUGAGUUCGAGCCUCAAAGAAGGCA